rnacentral:rRNA from 1 species
UACGUAGGGUGCGAGCGUUGUCCGGAAUUACUGGGCGUAAAGAGCUCGUAGGCGGUUUGUCGCGUCGUCCGUGAAAACUUGGGGCUCAACCCCAAGCUUGCGGGCGAUACGGGCAGACUUGAGUACUGCAGGGGGAGACUGGAAUUCCUGGUGUAGCGGUGAAAUGCGCAGAUAUCAGGAGGAACACCGGUGGCGAAGGCGGGUCUCUGGGCCGAUACUGACGCUGAGGAGCGAAAGCGUGGGGAGCGAACAGG